UACGGAGAGUGCUAGCGUUGUUCGGAAUUACUGGGCGUAAAGCGAGUGUAGGCGGCCUUGUAAGUCGGACUGUGAAAGCCCGGGGCCUAACCCCGGAAGUGCAUCCGAUACUGCUUGGCUUGAGUUCGGGAGAGGGUAGCGGAAUUCCCGGUGUAGAAGUGAAAUUCGUAGAUAUCGGGAGGAACACCAGUGGCGAAGGCGGCUACCUGGACCGAUACUGACGCUCUGACUCGAAAGCGUGGGGAGCAAACAGGAUUAGAUACCCUGGUAGUCCACGCUGUCAACGGUGGGUACUGGGUGCAGCGGGUGUCUGACCCCUGCUGUGCCGUAGCUAACGCGUUAAGUACCCCGCCUGGGGAGUACGGCCGCAAGGUUG
rnacentral:rRNA from 1 species